ensembl:lncRNA
CGCGACGUGACUGCGUGGUGACUAAAUAAUAAAUGUGCCAUAUCAGGUUUCACGUGGAGCCAAGGCCAUGGCCUGUAGCUGGGGGAAGGGAAAAAGGACAGGAGGGACAGCACAUAUGAGAUGCAGAGGUUUUCAGUGGAAAAGAACUUUAAAGUGGAGCACAGACGGUGAUGCUGCCAACGGGCGCGGCAUUCCGGUGGUUCCAGUAGGGCUGUGAUCGCCGACCUCCACCCAAAGCUCUGCCAUCAAGUGCAAUGCUAACUCUCGCUUGGACCGACUCCAGCACCGACACUGGCUAGCAAGCAUUCAAUCCACGAAAAAAAAAAGAGGAAACAACCACCAGAAACUUCAUAGAAACACACACACGCACACACACUCACACACACACACACACACACACACACAUACACAGACACAACAAAGCAGAAACGCAACAAAAACGUAAUCAAUCGAAUAAUGGAUGCACCUACUUAUUCCUUGAACCAAAAAUUAAACAUAAUAAAAAAAAAAAUUAUGGCAACUUUCAUUCCCUUUUAUAUGUUUCCAUUUUGGUACCUUUUUGUCCUUUUUCCAGCAGGUUUUUUCUCUCGCUUAAACAUUGGAACAGUUCAUUGCCAAACAGAAAUGACGGACUGAGUGUGGACAAUCAACAAAAUUUCUGUGUUUGGUGUUAAUGUCGUUCACGUGUGGAAAGAUACAGUACUUGUGUAGAGAAUGUAAAUUUUACAGCUAUAUUUUAAAACUAGUGGCUCAUGGCAAGCACUAUUGUAAUUUAGCACCGUUGUUCUUACUUAAAACUCUGUAUUUUAUUGAUUGUUUUCUUUUUUUUUAGUUUGAUUUUAAAUUUAUAGAUUGGAAAAACUGAUCAAUGUUUGUCAUUUAAGAAAAAGAAACUAUUUCAAGAUGUAAAAAUCCCGUUUUUCUGAAUGGAAUGAAAGAACAAAUAUAUGUCGAGACCCCAUGGUAGUGUAUGGUCAGAAUAGAUGAUGACUGUUGUACAUGUGGGGUUGCUACUACUGGAAGCUCCUUGACCGCCAAACCAUCCAUCUGUCCUAACAUUUAAGUCUGCACUGUUUUGUUGUAAGACUGCGGCCAUACUUUUCGUUACGACGUCGCCAUUGUGCAGGUGUGGAUACAUCCUCCUAAGCACUUGGAGACAGCACUUGCCCAAUUAAACGCACUGAAAAAUUAUUCUUUUUUUUAAAAAAAAAUUGUUUGUUGGUUACUUUUUUUUUCAUGACAUUGCCAGUAGCUACAUCUUUUAAAAUGAACAGCGAUGUUUGUAUUGGAAUUAGAAGUAUGGGCUGGUUUUGUGAAUAAAAACAAAUGCAUGUAUUUGUGUCAAGAAUUUACAGCUCUGACGUCUGUCUACUUGCAUGUUUUUUAAGAAACGACCACAAACGCUUAAAAAAAAACCAACCCACGAGUAUGGAAAUGUUCACAAAUCUUAUAGAUUGUUCGGUUUUCAAUAAGGUAAAAAUAAUAAUAAAAAUGCGAUUGGACAAGAACUGUCAUUUUGAAAUGCAGUCAAAGUCUGUGAUGUUAUUUUG